AUGUUCAUAUACCCUUUGUUGGAUUUUUCUCUCCGUUUUCACAAUACAGUAGGUAUGUUCAUACACCCUUUGUUUGAGGUUUCUCUCCGUUUUCACAAUACAGUCGGUAUGUUCAUAUACCCUUUGUUUGAGGUUUCUCUCCGUUUUCACAAUACAGUAGGUAUGUUCAUACACCCUUUGUUUGAUUUUUCUCUCCGUUUUCACAAUACAGUCGGUAUGUUCAUAUACCCUUUGUUUGAUUUUUCUCUCCGUUUUCACAAUACAGUAGGUAUGUUCAUACACCCUUUGUUUGAGGUUUCUCUCCGUUUUCACAAUACAGUCGGUAUGUUCAUAUACCCUUUGUUUGAGGUUUCUCUCUGUUUUCACAAUACAGUAGGUAUGUUCACACACCCUUUGUUUGGUUUUUCUCUCCGUUUUCACAAUACAGUCGGUAUGUUCAUACACCCUUUGUUUGAUUUUUCUCUCCGUUUUCACAAUACAGUCGGUAUGUUCAUAUACCCUUUGUUUGAUUUUUCUCUCCA